AACGCACAUUGCGCCCGCUAGUAUUCUGGCGGGCAUGCCUGUUCGAGCGUCAUUUCAACCAUCAAGCGCCUGCGCUUGUGUUGGAGCCCUGCGGCUGCCGCAGGCUCCCAAACCCAGUGGCGGGCUCGUCGUCGUACCGAGUGCAGUAAACUUACCACGCUCAGGGCGCGCGACGGGUGACCGGCCGUAAAACCCCCCCUAUAUCAAGGUUGACCUCGGAUCAGGUAGGAAUACCCGCUGAACUUAA
rnacentral:misc_RNA from 1 species